CCUACGGGUGGCAGCAGUGAGGAAUAUUGGUCAAUGGACGAGAGUCUGAACCAGCCAAGUAGCGUGAAGGACGACUGCGCCAUGGGUUGUAAACUUCUUUUAUCAAGGAACAAAACGAGGCUAGUGAGCAUGAUUGAAGGUACUUGAAGAAAAAGGAUCGGCUAACUCCGUGCCAGCAGCCGCGGUAAUACGGAGGAUGCGAGCGUUAUCCGGAUUUAUGGGGUUUAAAGGGAGCGUAGAUGGGUUGUUAAGUCAGUGGUGAAAGUUUGCGGCUCAACCGUCAAAUUGCAAUUGAUACUGGCAGUCUUGAGUACAGUUGAGGUAGGCGGAAUUCGUGGUGUAGCGGUGAAAUGCUUAGAUAUCACGAAGAACCCCGAUUGCGAAGGCAGCUUACUAACCUGUGACUGACAUUGAUGCUCGAAAGUGUGGGUAUCAAACAGGAUUAGAUACCCUUGUAGUC
rnacentral:rRNA from 1 species